rnacentral:sRNA from 1 species
CCAAGCAAACCCAUGUUAUACUUGCUGAUGAAAUGGGACUUGGAAAAACCAUUCAGAGCAUUGCGUUUUUAGCAUCGCUCUUUGAAAGUAACGUUUCACCACACUUGGUGAUUGCUCCCCUCUCCACGUUGAGAAACUGGGAGCGUGAAUUUGCAACGUGGGCACCUCAGAUGAAUGUUGUUAUGUAUUUUGGAUCUGGCAACGCCCGUGAUUUGAUACGAGAGUAUGAGUUUUACUUUCCCAAGAACCAAAAGGGGUUCCAGAGGAAGAAAUCUAAACAGCUUGUUGAUGAAACCAAGCAAGGAAGAAUAAAGUUUGAUGUUCUUUUGACAUCAUAUGAGAUGAUAAAUUGUGAUUUAUUAGCACUAAAGCCUAUAAAGUGGGAGUGCAUGAUAGUUGAUGAGGGUCACCGUCUGAAAAACAAAAAUUCUAAGUUGUUUUCUUCGUUGACCCAACUUUCCAGCAAACAUCGUGUGCUUUUGACUGGAACUCCUCUUCAGAACAAUUUGGAUGAACUUUUUAUUCUGAUGCACUUCCUUGAUGCUGGAAAGGUUUG